GUGCUCGCUUCGGCAGCACAUAUACUAAAAUUGGAACGAUACAGAGAAGAUAAGCAUGGCCCCUGCGCAAGGGUGACACGCAAAAAAUCUUCCUAAACUUUU
ensembl:snRNA U6 U6 spliceosomal RNA